rnacentral:lncRNA from 1 species
GAACUUCGGUUCCUCAUCUGCCAGUUGGCAGACGCUCAGCAAAUCUUCCUAGACUCACGGGGCGAAUUGUACAGUUGGGUAAAUCGAGGCCCAGAGAUGGCAAAAGGACCGUCCAAGGUCGUACAGCCACCCGGAAUUACAAUUCUUUUCUGCCGGGUCACACGCUGUCAUCCACGUGUUACCUAAGAGAGCUUUCCAGCCUGUGCUAAGAAAACUGCCCCACAUCAUCUGCAGUAGGACGGGGGAGUUGGAGCCCUGGUCAGGCCACUCUGCUACUGACCACAGUUUUCUCAUCUCUAAAAAGGCGCAGUAACAAUAUAAUUACCGUAUGCAGUCCCCCAGGAUACAGGGUCAAAGGAGAGCACAACCAUCGCAGUUGGAAGCCCAUGGGGCAGGGCCCAGGACACAGUGAGCAUACAAUAGACAUUAGCUGCUGUGGUGUCUUGAUUUCAAGCCCAGUGCAGAUGCAUCUGACUUACGAAACUUCAGUGACACCUGCUCUGUGCCAGACACUGAAGAUGGAGCAGUGAACAGCACUGACCCAGCCUGUCCUCCUGUUGCCUGCAGGCCAGAAGCAAGGUCUCGCUGUGUUACCCUGGCUGGAGUGCAGUGGCUACUUACAGGCAUGAUCAUAGCAUACUGCAGCCUCGAACUCCUGGACUAGAGCAGUUCUCCUGCCUCAGCCUCCAGAGCAGCUGGGACUGCAGACACGCACCACAGAGCCCAGCCUGAGUCAUUUUGAUUCUGUAACUGGCUUCCUCUCGGCGGGCAGGCUCACACCCUCCACCCCCAGCUGGAGAUGGAAGGAGGAUGCUCACCGCCCAUUCCUCAUGCAGGCCAUCGAUGGAAAUGUCAGACAGUGCGAGUCCACGCCUGAACACUUCUGGGGUCCGCUCUGGGACUGACACUGGCAGAUCCAUCGUGGCACCCGAGCUCUGUGAGGGCAAGACUUUGUUCGGUUGUGGGCUAUGCCCCCAACCCCUCGGACAGUGCCUGCACAGGUGGACAUUUUUGUUGGAUGAAGGAUUUUCUGUUAAAUGUGUCUGGCACACACAGAAAAACAAAGCCCAGCAGGUACGAUGGUGAUUAUUAUUGUUACUGGUGGCGCUCUAUUAUUGUUAUUAGUGUCUGUUGAAAAAGACCCUGAGCUAUACCA